rnacentral:rRNA from 1 species
AUUGAACGCUGGCGGCAGGCCUAACACAUGCAAGUCGAACGAGUGGCGGACGGGUGAGUAAUGUCUGGGAAACUGCCCGAUGGAGGGGGAUAACUCCGGAAAAGGGUAGCUAAUACCGCAUACAAUCGGAGGGGCCCGGAUGGGAUUAGCUAGUAGGUGGGGUAACGGCUCACCUAGGCGACGAUCCCUAGCUGGUCUGAGAGGAUGACCAGCCACCCUGGAACUGAGACACGGUCCAGACUCCUACGGGAGGCAGCAGUGGGGAAUAUUGCACAAUGGGCGCAAGCCUGAUGCAGCCAUGCCGCGUGUAUGAAGAAGGCCUUCGGGUUGUAAAGUACUUUCAGCGAGGAGGCGUUACUCGCAGAAGAAACAUCGGCUAACUCCGUGCCAGCAGCCGCGGUAAUAC